UAGUAGGUUUAGUUCCAGCAUCAAAAAUGAUAAUACUAAUAAUUGGGCGGUGUUUCCAAGGGGGCUUUGCCU